AUGUGGACCGAUGAGCUCAAAGUUACUGUGCAUACUGCUUUUCACUAUAUUUUAGCUAAUGUAGUUCACGUGGCGUCUGGGGUCAGCUUUUGUCUCAUUUGUAUAUAUGGUGACCCCUAUCAUAAGCAGACUAAUGUCAUCUGGGACCAAGUAGCGUCUUUUGUUUAUGAUAACCUAAGUAAGCCCAUGGUUUGUAUGGGAGACUUGAAUGAUAUCCUGUAUGAAGUCGACGGUUGUAAUGGCAAUAUCAACUACUACCGUAUGCAUGCCUUU
rnacentral:rRNA from 1 species